rnacentral:misc_RNA from 1 species
GAUGAAGAACGUAGCGAAAUGCGAUAAGUAAUGUGAAUUGCAGAAUUCAGUGAAUCAUCGAAUCUUUGAACGCACAUUGCGCCCGCCAGUAUUCUGGCGGGCAUGCCUGUUCGAGCGUCAUUACAACCCUCAGGCCCCCGGGCCUGGCGUUGGGGAUCGGCGGAAGCCCCCUGCGGGCACAACGCCGUCCCCCAAACACAGUGGCGGUCCCGCCGCAGCUUCCAUUGCGUAGUAGCUAACACCUCGCAACUGGAGAGCGGCGCGGCCACGCCGUAAAACACCCAACUUCUGAAUGUUGACCUCGAAUCAGGUAGGAAUACCCGCUGAACUUAAGCAUAUCAAUAAGCGGAGGA